GCCGGUGUUGCUCAGUGGAUAGAGUGUCGGCCUUCGGACUGAAGGGUACUGGAAUCAAUUCCAGUCAAGGGCA
rnacentral:tRNA from 1 species